GGCGUGCCUAUACAUGCAAGUCGAGCGAAUGGAUUAGAGCUUGCUCUUAUGAAGUUAGCGGCGGACGGGUGAGUAACACGUGGGUAACCUGCCCAUAAGACUGGGAUAACUCCGGGAAACCGGGGCUAAUACCGGAUAACAUUUUGAACCGCAUGGUUCGAAAUUGAAAGGCGGCUUUCGGAUUGUCACUUAUGGAUGGACCCGCGUCGCAUUAGCUAGUUGGUGAGGUAACGGCUCACCAAGGCAACGAUGCGUAGCCGACCUGAGAGGGUGAUCGGCCACACUGKUGACUGAGACACGGCCCAGACUCCUACGGGAGGCAGCAGUAGGGAAUCUUCCGCAAUGGACGAAAGUCUGACGGAGCAACGCCGCGUGAGUGAUGAAGGCUUUCGGGUCGUAAAACUCUGUUGUUAGGGAAAGAACAAGUGCUAGUUGAAUAAGCUGGCACCUUGACGGUACCCUAACCCAGAAAAGCCACGGCUUAACUACCGUGCCAGCAGCCGCGGCAAUUA
rnacentral:rRNA from 1 species